rnacentral:lncRNA from 1 species
UUCCGGUAAGGAAGAUGGCGGCUUCCUAGAGACCUGAUUGACUGGCCCCGGUACCCAGGCAGUGGAACCUGCGGCGGUGUGAACGCGCGCGAACUUUGUGUCGCCGCGGUCUAACUUCGACUCGGCUUGCUGCAGCUUCAGGCAGGAUCCUGGCUUCCACUAUCCCCCCUCCAUCCAACCACUCGGGAACUAUGGAGGUAGCCGAGGCCAACAGCCCCACUGAGGAGGAGGAAGAGGAAGAGGAGGAAGAAGGAGAGGAGCCGAUUUCAGAGCCCAGGCCUCACACUCGCUCCAAUCCUGAGGGGGCUGAGGACCGGGCCAUCGGGGCUCAGGCCAAUGUGGGUAGCCGCAGCGAGGGCGAAGGUGAGGCAGCCACUGCAGAUGAUGGGGCGGCCAGUGUCCCGGGAGCUGUGCCCAAGCCCUGGCAGGUACCAGCACCAGCAUCUGAGGUCCAGAUUCGAACACCAAGGGUCAACUGUCCAGAGAAAGUGGUAUGUGGGGAAUCUUGGCUGGAGAUGGAGGGGAUGGAGGCCCUCAGACAGGCCACUCCUGCCUUGUGAGUCUUUAAGUUGCUGCCUCAAUUUUCUACAGGUUCCAUGAACAUCACACACUUGGUAGCUUAAACGUCACCAAAUUUAGAUUCUUGUUUUUAUUUUUAUUUAUUUUUUUAUUUUGUGGCAUCUGGAUUUCCAUGCGCUACUAACCACCCCCCCACCUCCAUUCUAGGCCGAGGCUCCACCCCUGAGCCACACUGCCAGCUCCUCU